AAUAAAUGCAAAUAAAUUUUAUUAUUUAAAGUUAAAAUGGAUUUAUUAAUAUAUAAUUAAAUUUUUUAGGUUAAAUUUUAAAUUUAUAAAAUUAUUAAAAAUUAGGUUAUUUUAAGCUUAAAAAUUUUAUUAAUAAACUAGGAUUAGAUACCCUACUAUAAAAAAUGUAAGUAUAUAAAAAUAGAGUAGUAAUAGUUAUAUUCUUAAAACUUAAUAAAUUUGGCGGUAUUUUAAUCUAUUCAGAGGAACUUGUUUUAUAAUUGAUAAUCCUCGUUAUAUCUUACUUAAUUUAAUUAAUUUGUAUACCAUCGUCAUAAGAAUCUCUUAAAAAAGAAAAAAUUUUCUUAAUAAUUAAUUAAUUAAUAUGUCAGAUCAAGGUGCAGUUUAUAGUUAAGAAAAAAUGAGUUACAAUAAAUUUAUUUAUACGAAUUUUUAGUUGAAAUACUAAAUUGAAGGUGGAUUUGAUAGUAAAAUAAAUAAAAAAGUUUAUUUGAUUUUAGUUCUAAAAUAUGCACAUAUCGCCCGUCGCUCUCGUUAUUUAAAAUGAG
rnacentral:rRNA from 1 species